UGGCAAUUGAGAAGAGUUACAUACAACUAUUCACGUCGAAUUAACCGAGAAGAUCCAAGACAGAAGCCCGAGAACUCACUUUUUCUAUGUCAACACUCUCUGAAGUGACUUUGAAACGUCCUCUUUGUUGAACAACUGGUGGCUUUGAUUUGUCAUCGAUCUCCUCAUUAGAGCCUGCAACAUUAAGUGGUUACUUAGAGUUGACAAUAAACACUCACGUCCUUUUAAACAAGUUGAAAUAAGAUAACUUGUUGCAUACGAAACUUAGGAAACUCACCAUCUAGUGCUACUGUGGCACCAUUGUUGGAUGGGAUUCUUGGCA
rnacentral:lncRNA from 1 species